UACGGGGGGGGCAAGCGUUGUUCGGAAUUACUGGGCGUAAAGGGCGCGUAGGCGGCCUUCUAAGUCGGACGUGAAAUCCCUCGGCUUAACCGAGGAACUGCGUCCGAUACUGAAAGGCUUGAAUCCGGGAGAGGGAUGCAGAAUUCCAGGUGUAGCGGUGAAAUGCGUAGAUAUCUGGAGGAAUACCGGUGGCGAAGGCGGCAUCCUGGACCGGCAUUGACGCUGAGGAGCGAAAGCUAGGGGAGCAAACGGG
rnacentral:rRNA from 1 species